GAUGAAGAACGUAGCGAAAUGCGAUACUUGGUGUGAAUUGCAGAAUCCCGUGAACCAUCGAGUCUUUGAACGCAAGUUGCGCCCGCCAGUAUUCUGGCGGGCAUGCCUGUUCGAGCGUCAUUUCAACCAUCAAGCCCUGCUUGCGUUGGGGUCCUGCGGCUGCCCGCAGGCCCUGAAAACCAGUGGCGGGCUCGCUAGUCACACCGAGCGCAGUAAUACAUCUCGCUUUGGGCGUGCGGCGGGUUCUUGCCGUUAGACACCCCCUUUUUACCAAGGUUGACCUCGGAUCAGGUAGGAAUACCCGCUGAACUUAAGCAUAUCAAUAAGCGGAGGA
rnacentral:misc_RNA from 1 species